ensembl:lncRNA
GAAUGUUUGACAUGUAAUUUCUUUGAUGCUUGCACAUGAAAGUAACAUAACAUUGGCUUAACAGCAGAGGCUGUAGUAAAAUGACAUGUUUCUAAUGCAUGGUUUAUCAGGUUAUUACACCUUUAUGGAAUUAAUGCUCAUAUAUCAUAGUAUACUGUAUCUAUUGACAGUAUAUCUCUGUUUUAUUCUUAGGACUUUGUUUGACUGCAAGCACUAAAAAAUGUUGUGUGGUGAUAUGUUACAGGUCCUUGAGGGAGAUGGAGGGAUAAAUAACUUUGUGUGGUGAUAUGUUACAGGUCCUUGAGGGAGAUGGAGGGAUAAAUAACUUUGUGUGGUGAUAUGUUACAGGUCCUUGAAGGAGAUGGAGGGAUAAAUAACGUUGUGUGGUGAUAUGUUACAGGUCCUUGAGGGAGAUGGAGGGAUAAAUAACUUUGUGUGGUGAUAUGUUACAGGUCCUUGAGGGAGAUGGAGGGAUAAAUAACUUUGUGUGGUGAUAUGUUA